UCUUUGUUUUUUCCUAUAUAUAAACAUAAAUAGGUAAUGAGCACUUUCUACUCAAGCAAUAAAAAGUCCCAAAAUAUUACUCCCUGCGUCCAGUGAAGUGGCAUAAAAAUCACAUGAUAAGGCUUCUGAGGUCAAAUUUGCUGUAACACUUUACAGCAUAGAGCUCACGUACAUCAUCAGGUGAUACACAAGGCUCUGACAGAGAUGGCAGCCACAGCUUCUAGGAGAUUCCUCGUGUCUUUCCAGUUUUAUUUAUUGUAUUGCUUCUU
rnacentral:lncRNA from 1 species